ensembl:miRNA
CAGCAGCCGGAGCCCGAACACAUCGAGGGGAACGAUGUGUUCAGGCUCUGGCUGACA